CCCUCUCCUGCAGCUCCCAGCCCCAUAAGGACACUGCUCCCCCACAUUUCCCUCACCAAGAUUCCUCUUCUUCCAGAAUGAUCGUCGCACUGCUGGCAGCCUGCUGAAUGGUUGAAUCGCCUCCAUCUUCAGACCACGCGAGGGAGAUUGUCCGUGGCGCUAAAGCACUAAUUGAGUGUUGACACUGUGAGCAACCCAAAGGUGACACAUAGCGAUCCCUGCCUCAGCGGCUGCUGCCACAUCACGGGUGACGAGGAGACAGUAAUAACAGGCGUGCGAAGUAAGUGGAAUGUGAAAGUGCUUUACGAGCUCCCAGAGCACUUUCCCACGCAUUACUUCCCGGAGCCUCGCGACAGAGCCGUGAGCAGCUGGA
rnacentral:lncRNA from 1 species